rnacentral:rRNA from 1 species
CCAUGGGAGUGGGUUGCAAAAGAAGUAGGUAGCUUAACCUUCGGGAGGGCGCUUACCACUUUGUGAUUCAUGACUGGGGUGAAGUCGUAACAAGGUAACCGUAGGGGAACCUGCGGUUGGAUCACCUCCUUA